rnacentral:rRNA from 1 species
CCUACGGGUGUCAGCAGUAAGGAAUAUUGCUCAAUGGGCGCUAACCUGAAGCAGCCAAGUAGCGUGGAGGAUGACUGCCCUAUGAGUGGUAAACUUCUUUUAUAGAGUAGUAAAGUUCGGUAUGUAUACUGCUUUUCAUGUACAUUAUGAAUAAAGAUCUGCUAACUCCGUGGCGGCAGCCGCGGUAAUACGGAGGAUCCGAGCGUUAUGCGUGUUUAUUGGGGGUAAAGGGAGCGUAGGCGGGGUGUUAAGUCAGAUGUGAAAGUCUGAGGCUCAACAGUAAAAUUGCAGUUGAUACUGGCAUCCUUGAGUACAGGAGAGGUAGGCGGAAUUCGUGGUGUAGCGGUGAAAUGCUUAGAUAUCACGAAGAACUCUGAUUGCGAAGGCAGCCUGCUGGACUGUAACUGACGCUGAUGCUCGAAAGCGUGGGUAUCAAACAGGAUUAGAUACCCCAGUAGUC